rnacentral:rRNA from 1 species
AAUCUUGGACAAUGGGCGCAAGCCUGAUCCAGCCAUGCCGCGUGAGCGAAGAAGGCCCUAGGGUCGUAAAACUCUUUCAGCUGUGAAGAUAAUGACGGUAGCAGCAGAAGAAACCCCGGCUAACUCCGUGCCAGCAGCCGCGGUAAUACGGAGGGGGUUAGCGUUGUUCGGAAUUACUGGGCGUAAAGCGCGCGUAGGCGGGCUAGUAAGUCAGGGGUGAAAUCCCGGGGCUCAACCCCGGAACUGCCUUUGAUACUGCUAGUCUUGAGUUCGAGAGAGGUGAGUGGAAUUCCGAGUGUAGAGGUGAAAUUCGUAGAUAUUCGGAGGAACACCAGUGGCGAAGGCGGCUCACUGGCUCGACACUGACGCUGAGGUGCGAAAGCGUGGGUAGCAAACAGGAUUAGAUACCCUGGUAGUCCACGCCGUA